CUAGAUAUAAAUAGACUAAACCUCUACCUGAGCACUACGAAUCAUAAAUUUAAAACUCAAAGAGCUUGGCGGUGCUUUAGACUUUUCAGGGGAACCUGUCCCAUAAUCGACAAUCCACGAAUCAACCUUACUUUUUCUUGCAAUCAGUAUGUAUACCGUCGUCGUCAGGUAACUUUUAAAAAUAAAGAAGUUAGCUAAAAAGCUAUCAGCUUCCACGUCAGAUCAAGGUGCAGCCUAUGGAAAAGAGAGGAUGGGUUACAAUUAUAAAACAUAAUUACGGAUAUUGAUUUUAAUAAUCAUUUGAAGGAGGACUUGAAAGUAAAAUCUAGUAGUUAAAAGCUUUGAAUUAAGCUCUGAAGCG
rnacentral:rRNA from 1 species